AUCCCCUGAAACAACAUGUACGGUGGGAGAGGGUAAUAGGUGAGAGUGACCAGAUGGGUAUCAGAGGCCUAGGUACCAGGCCAGAAGACCGGGCCACGCCCAAACUCUGCACCUUCUUGCCCUAUCAUGUGCACACUAAGGAACUCUGCAUUUAAAAUGUCAGAGGUUCCAAGCCCUCACUUUACAAAGGAGGAGGUACCAUGGCCCAGAGAAGGAAAAGAACCAUCCCAGGGUCUCUCAGUAAACCUGAUAGCUAAGCCACCUGCUCCUAACCCACUACUACCUCCCAGCUCUCUCUUCAUUGAUCCCAGUGUGGCAGCAUUCAGGUGUGGCAGCUCUGGCCCCAUAUACUGUCCUCAGACUGGAAGGCAGGAGGGAGCACCCAGGUGAGGCUCACAUCCCUGUCCCCUUCCCUGUCCAGUGGCUCCAGCCAUCCCACAGUCUCCAGAAUGGGUCAGUGGAAUGAACACAAGAUUUGGAGGAAAGACCUGGCCCAGUGACCUUGGGUAGGCCUGCCCUCUCUGUAAACCUCAGUUUUUCCAGGUAUCAGAUGGGAAUGUUGAUCCCAUCCUUACCAACUUCUACAGUGACUGACAGGAUCCAAGGAGGAUGCAAAGAGGAAGGAGCUUUGCUGUUCCCUGAGCACCACUGCCCCAUCCCCCACCCAGGACAGACCUCUCUGAGUGCGGAUCCCCUUCCCAGGCAAGACUUCAGGUUCCUGCUCAAUACAGCACCCCACGUCACCACUAAUGAGAUGCUGGAAUUGGCCCUGAAGACGCAAAUUAUUUGCCAUGUUAACUUUAUAUCCACCUUCCCAGGCUGCUCUCUAAACCCUAUGGUGACUGUGCAGAAUUAUUAGGUUGGUGCAAAAGUAAUUGCUCUUUUUGCCAUAGAACCAACCCAGUGAGCUAAAAUCCAGGUUUCAAGGCACCUUUACACACACACAUACACAC
rnacentral:lncRNA from 10 species